rfam:Sorghum bicolor cultivar BTx623 chromosome 3, whole genome shotgun sequence.
AUUCCAUGAUGAGGACAAUCUUGAAUGUAUCAUUGGAAACGCUCCCAUGCUUCUGAAAUAGUUUUUGUCUUCUACUAUUGGAAGUUGGUAAUCUUUCCUCUUAAGGGAUU